rnacentral:rRNA from 1 species
UACGUAGGGGGCUAGCGUUGUCCGGAAUCAUUGGGCGUAAAGCGCGUGUAGGCGGUUCGGUAAGUCCGCUGUGAAAGUCGGGGGCUCAACCCUCGGAAGCCGGUGGAUACUGUCGGGCUAGAGUACGGAAGAGGCGAGUGGAAUUCCUGGUGUAGCGGUGAAAUGCGCAGAUAUCAGGAGGAACACCAAUUGCGAAGGCAGCUCGCUGGGACGUUACUGACGCUGAGACGCGAAAGCGUGGGGAGUAAACAGG